GCGGGGCGCCGCUGCCCGGGGGUUCCGGUAGCGCGUAAGCCCAUGUUUGGAUCUGGGUGACUUCAGGGUUGGAUGCUGCUUCAGUUUCCCAAAGGUUCAGCAUAUCUCUAGAGCACCACCAUCUGGAAUUGACAUUUGGAAAAGAGGCAGCAUUUUUCUUCAGAUUGAUGACUCUUCUGCCCCUCUUUCUCUGGCCCAGUUAAUUGAGGUUUUCCUGUACUCAUUUUAAAAUGAGAGAGUAGCAGCUUUUUCUGGGAGAGGUUUGGCAUGGAUGGAAGUCCACGUUGUUCCUUUGAACUUUCAUUUUGCAUUCAUGGAACGCAGAUGCAAAUUUGACUACCUAAAGAAGACCAUAACCCAAAAUAACUCUAUACUAAAAAUAAGAAAAGUGAACUUGAAGGUCUUGUACCCAGAUGGUAGACACUUUUUAAAGCUGCUCUUCUUCAAGGAAGUUCCCUCCAGACUUGCACCCAUUUUGGAGACCUAACACUAGCAAUUGCUGAGCUCCAGCACCGUGAUGUCUUUAUUGUACUGAGGUGUCCAAAUGAAAGCAUAUUAAAAUUAUGUUUUGUUCAUACCUUUCAUACCUUUAAAGCUGAAUGCCAUUAAAUGUAAAGUAAUAUUAAACAAAUAGAUAAGCCACAGUUUUAGGCAGGUUUUUGACUGGCUUCCUGCCACUACUUUGCCCUCAGCUAGAGAGGCUGCUCACUAAAAGGCAGCACAAGCAGAUCAGGGACAGAUCUACAGACACAUAUCUCAUUUCUCAUGCUGAAGAUCCAGGGAAGCACACUGUGCUAUCAGUACUGUGGAAUUACUAAACUGUGAUUUAUCUUCUGUGAAAUGACUGUACACAUUUAAAAAGCAUGUAAAAGGGGCCAAGCAGCAGUAAUGCAAGAUUUUAACUAGCAGCAAUCAACUGGUACAUUUGGAGGAGGAAAUAAACUGGAGGCUGGUGACAUCCGGUUUUUUACUUAAUACAGAAUAUCCAUUAAGUGUAAAAGGCUGGAAUAAAGCCCAGAUUGCAGACAAGGGAGAACAAUGUUUAGGAAUAGUCAAGUGGUUGGGAAGAUGAGGAAGAUAUUUUUCCUCAUCUAAUUGCUUUGACUCUCUUCUAGACAAACAAAAAUGGAUGGCAGAGUUACCUAAUAUAAAAAAUAUUUUUAAAAACCCAAAAUAAUGAAUUUUACCGCAUCCACAGCUGUUGCAGAAUGGCUUGAGCAGCAGGGCCAUGGGCCCCUGCUAUCUCCUCGAGGGGCCUUGAGAGUGUAGCACAAACAGCAGCUGUACAAGCAAUCUCUUUUUUUAGCCUAACACAAGUAUAAACAAUCUCUGUUAGCUUAAACUAACUCAAGGACAAGGUAGAGAAGUAGAAUGAUAGAAAACAAGGAAGAACCCUGGAACUCAGAUGUGUGUUAUUAUCCAGUAAAAUCACUGCAAGUAGUUGCCGUCCAGUGAAAUCACUACAAGUAGUUACUAUCCAAUGAAUUCACUAUGCGUGGUUACUAUCCAAUGCAUUCACUAUGCGUGGUUACUAUCCAAUGAAUUCACUACAUGUAGGUUUGGAAAAGGGUAUAAAAGUAACACUGUGUAUUCAGUAAAUCGAAGCUUGCUUUAUCAAUCACAUUGAUUCUGGACUGCUUGCUUCCCUCGCCGCUGGCACACAGUCAGAAAAGGGUAAUCAAUUCUGUUUGUUAAAAGUAUAAACUCCUUCCUUCUCUGUGAAAGCAGUGUGUGUCUGUUGGAUUGUCCU